rnacentral:lncRNA from 1 species
UGAGAUCUGGUGAGAGCUAGAGUGAAUGUUUGCAACAGUUUGAAAACUUACCUAGAAGUCGCUACUGUGAAAUAUACAACACCCAGGAUCCUCUGGGACUUUUCCAUACCUUGUGGGCCAUAUAUGAAGAGGCGACAUGACAGGGCAGCAGGGAGCUUCGUUAAGACUUUUCUAGUCUUGCCAGAGAACCUGAUUGUACCUCAACACAGG